rnacentral:rRNA from 1 species
CUACAGGCUUAACACAUGCAAGUCGAGGGGAAACGAUAUUGGAAGCUUGCUUCCGAUAGGCGUCGACCGGCGCACGGGUGAGUAACGCGUAUCCAACCUGCCCACCACUUGGGAAUAACCUUGCGAAAGUAAGACUAAUGCCCAAUGAUAUCUCUAGAAGACAUCUGAAAGAGAUUAAAGAUUUAUCGGUGAUGGAUGGGGAUGCGUCUGAUUAGCUUGUUGGCGGGGUAACGGCCCACCAAGGCAACGAUCAGUAGGGGUUCUGAGAGGAAGGUCCCCCACAUUGGAACUGAGACACGGUCCAAACUCCUACGGGAGGCAGCAGUGAGGAAUAUUGGUCAAUGGGCGAGAGCCUGAACCAGCCAAGUAGCGUGCAGGAAGACGGCCCUAUGGGUUGUAAACUGCUUUUAUAAGGGAAUAAAGUGGGAGUCGUGACUCUUUUUGCAUGUACCUUAUGAAUAAGGACCGGCUAAUUCCGUGCCAGCAGCCGCGGUAAUACGGAAGGUCCGGGCGUUAUCCGGAUUUAUUGGGUUUAAAGGGAGCGUAGGCCGGAGAUUAAGCGUGUUGUGAAAUGUAGACGCCCAACGUCUGCACUGCAGCGCGAACUGGUUUCCUUGAGUACGCACAAAGUGGGCGGAAUUCGUGGUGUAGCGGUGAAAUGCUUAGAUAUCACGAAGAACUCCGAUUGCGAAGGCAGCUCACUGGAGCGCAACUGACGCUGAAGCUCGAAAGUGCGGGUAUCGAACAGGAUUAGAUACCCUGGUAGUCCGCACGGUAAACGAUGGAUGCCCGCUGUUGGUCUGAAUAGGUCAGCGGCCAAGCGAAAGCAUUAAGCAUCCCACCUGGGGAGUACGCCGGCAACGGUGAAACUCAAAGGAAUUGACGGGGGCCCGCACAAGCGGAGGAACAUGUGGUUUAAUUCGAUGAUACGCGAGGAACCUUACCCGGGCUUGAAUUGCAGAGGAAGGAUUUGGAGACAAUGACGCCCUUCGGGGUCUCUGUGAAGGUGCUGCAUGGUUGUCGUCAGCUCGUGCCGUGAGGUGUCGGCUUAAGUGCCAUAACGAGCGCAACCCCUCUCCUUAGUUGCCAUCAGGUCGUGCUGGGCACUCUGGGGACACUGCCACCGUAAGGUGUGAGGAAGGUGGGGAUGA